rnacentral:lncRNA from 13 species
UUUUAUAUAUAUAACUGCAUUGUGUCUCAUAUCUGGUUAUUGCGGUAUUCUUAUCAGGAUCCUUUGUGUUGUGAAAAGCAGAGGAAUCUUGACUUUGUGGAGUGAAGACUUAAAGAAAUUAUCAAGAUGAUCUUCAUUUUCUCCUCAGUUUGACUGAACUUUAGACAGUUUUUCCUGAACACAGACUCUUUUCAUCUCUUUUCCAAGCUUCUAAAUGGUCUUUCCUGACCUCUAACUUUGGGAUACUACAGAGGGCCCCUGAAACAUCCAAAAGAGAGGUAACAGGAUUAUCUGACAUGUUAAGUUACAUGGAAACCACUGUCAAAAUAAAAAAAAUGAUUAACCUUCUUCAGGUUUAUAUUUCAGUGAUUGAUAUUAAUAUAUGUUCCAAAAUUAUAUGGAAUUUCUGAAAUUCUAAUUUCUGAGUAUAUGCUAUCAAUUGUAUAGUUAUUAUGUUAAGUUAUUAUAUACCACAGAAAUAACAUUUCCUUGUCAAUUGUGUUUUUAACUAUGAUUUAAAACAUUUAUUUAAGGACAUUUCCACAGUUAAUUUUUAAUGCUGAUACAGAUUCUGAAAACUUCACAAGCACACCAAAUGCUAGAAAAUAGCAUUUUUAGGAGGUUCAUUAAAGAACAUAAUGGACCCUGAAAAGCACUCUUGAAUACAGGUUCCUAGCAGCUUUAGAAUCAUAUCACUCAGACUGGGUAAAACUUCCUGGGACUUUAAUGAAAAGACUGACUGGUUUAUAAACUGCUAACCCAAGCAGAACAAAAAUUAACUGAAUAUCAAGAAAAUACUCUGCCAGAUGUUCAUACUAAAUCAGCCAAUAUCAAAAUUAUUUAGAUACACAAUGUAAAUAAACUCCAUGGUCUAAGUCA